AGUGCGUCCAUUGACCAAUUUAUAUAUCAAUGUUAGCUUAUGCAAAACACCAACAAUGAUUGUACUAAAUGUAACCGCAAGAAUGACAAGAGUACACAAUGAUGCAUUAUAUGUGGCUCCACCUGAAUAAUUCUCAUCCAAGAGAUAAUGAUGAUGAAUCAUAUCAGACUUCUAUUGUGGAAGUUGGCCUAAUUAGAGAAUGUGUUUUGUCAUGGAGACUGCUCCUUUGGAUAAGCCAACUCCUCCAUGUGCCAGCUUUCAUGGGGAGCAACAUGGUCAUGUGAAGGAGUAUAUUGCUCCAUCUUGCUUAAAAGCUCUCUGGCUGAAGGAGCAGCAAGAACAAUGUCACGAGCCCCUGGCUUAAUGAAACCUUCUUCAACACCAUUG
rnacentral:misc_RNA from 1 species